GACGAACGCUGGCGGCGUGCCUAACACAUGCAAGUCGAACGGAAAGGCCCGGCUUUUGUGCGGUGCUCGAGUGGCGAAGGGGUGAGUAACACGUGAGUAACCUGCCCCUGACUUUGGGAUAACUUCAGGAAACUGGGGCUCAUAUCGGAUAGGAUCUCUUGCUGCAUGGUGGGCGUUGGAAAGUUUCGGUGGUUGGGUAUGGAUUGGCGGCUUAUGAGCUGGAUGGUGGGGUAGUGGCUUACCAAGGCUUUGAGGGGUAGCCGGCCUGGGAGGGUGACCGGCCACCUUGGGACUGCGAUACGGACCAGACUCGAAUCGGAGGCAAUGGUGGAGAAUAUUGCAGAGUGGCCGGGAGCCAGAUGUAACAACGCCGGGUGCGGGAUGCCGUGCUUCGGGUUGUAAACCGAUUUGGACUGUGACGAGGCGUUAGUGACGGUAAUGGGUAAAGAAGCACCGGCUAACUACGUG
rnacentral:rRNA from 1 species